CGCUGGCGGCGUGCUUAACACAUGCAGUCGAACGGGAUCCGGCUGGGCUUUGCUUGGCUGGUGAGAGUGGCGAACGGGUGAGUAAUGCGUGACCAACCUGCCCCAUGCACCGGAAUAGCUCCUGGAAACGGGUGGUAAUGCCGGAUGCUCCGCACCUUCGCAUGGGGGUGUGGGAAAUGCUUUUGCGGCAUGGGAUGGGGUCGCGUCCUAUCAGCUUGUUGGCGGGGUGACGGCCCACCAAGGCGUUGACGGGUAGCCGGCCUGAGAGGGUGACCGGCCACAUUGGGACUGAGAUACGGCCCAGACUCCUACGGGAGGCAGCAGUGGGGAAUAUUGCACAAUGGGCGCAAGCCUGAUGCAGCGACGCCGCGUGCGGGAUGGAGGCCUUUCGGGUUGUAAACCGCUUUUGUUCAAGGGCAAGGCGGGUCUUCGGCCCGUUGAGUGGAUUGUUCGAAUAAGCACCGGCUAACUACGUGCCAGCAGCCGCGG
rnacentral:rRNA from 1 species